rnacentral:rRNA from 1 species
AUGAUGGAUAGGCAAGGCAUUUCAUCUCUGGUCUUCGAGAACAACGACUGCGCGAACAACUACAUCACCAAAGCGUCCAUCUUCGACCUACAACGACAAAUGCAAGGCGCACAAUCAAGAUUGCGAGAGCGCAUCGACAACCUCGCCAUUGACAUACAACACUCCGAAGCACAUACAAGAGCCUACUUUGACAACAAGUUUUCCGCACAAAAGGAGGAGAAAUAUGCAAGGAUGGAGGAGAUUCGGGCUUUGGUCAAGUCUACUUCCCCUUUGUCAUAUUCAAGGCGACGGCGAGCAAGUCGAUCACAUUUGGAGCGGCCACGCGAUGCAAGUACCACGCGGCACCGUCGUCGUCUUCGAGACGACCACCAAGACCACGGACAAGACCAUGAAGAGCGACCUUCAGGACCCCGUGCACACGGCCUCCUGCACCACCGUGCGCACGGGCUAUACAGAACAGCACCAUCGACCCCAAGGCACGGCUUCGUCAACAACUUUGGCAUCCUCGCCAAGUGA